CUAGAAAAGGAGUAGUCCUAUGCGAUUCACAAGACUGAGUUCAGAAAAUCUCUGGCUAGAGUAAGAGUGAAUAUUAGAAAAAAUUUAUUACAAAAUUUAUAGAUGAACUCGAGUCAAGCUAAUCUAGCAUAUGACUGACGAUAGGGUUCGACGAGUUCUCCAUGACCUCCGUCUAGUCGGGACUCACGAUAGAGAGAUUG
rnacentral:lncRNA from 1 species